ensembl:lncRNA
AUAAAAAAACAUGUUAAGAAAAGGUUGCUUGAGAAGGGCUCUUCAAAGCAGCAGCAUCUUGCAUUCUUCUCGCGUUCUCGCAGAUCUAAAAAUAGCCUCGACUCUUCACGCUCGCUCGGAUCCAACGGAAGCCGUCGGCGACACGUUGAACCAGAACUCUCACAACAAACAACGAGCGGCCGCCAGAUGUGUUUAAGCUGCAUUUGAGACCCGUCCAACCCUUCACACACACCCACCACCCCCCCCUCCCCCCGCACCUUUCCCCUCAUCCAACUUUCCUUCCCACUACAGACCUUCUCUGACAAAUUAAUGAUCAUGAAGUCACAGUUUCCCCCCUCGGCCUGCACAUUAGAUUUUAUUCACUCGGCUGCGAAUCCGUUUGGUGAUUAAACUGACGAGCAGCCGACGAGAGCAGCGAGGAGAGAAACGCUUCUAUUUAACUAAACAUCUUUCUGAGGAGUCUCCCCUCGGCUUCCCUCUGCUUCUGUGAGCGAACAAUGGGGGGUGUUUGCCCCGGACACGCUUCAGAGGUAGUCAAAACACUUGAGAACGUCCCUUUGAGGUUUGCUGAGCGGAGAGGUUCGAUCUUGGGGGGCAGAUAAGGAGCUUAUAAGGACCCCCCCCGAUGCUCCUUCGACUGGGUUGUGUGGCUGUAUGUUGUGUCUCCACGAAGGACACCCAACCCAGUGUUCGUCUUGUGUUUCCCUCCGCGUGGUCCCACCUCUCCUGCAGCCCUCUCUCAACCUUUAACCCCCACCCAGGCACAGCUCGAUUGUGCUGAUGUCAUGAUAUCCGUGCACCGCUUUAACUACGUCAGCCUCUGACUCAGACGACGACAGCUGUGCGCGUGACUGAACAUCUGCAUCGGGCGUCGCGUGUCUCACGGAAGGACUUUGACACUCGUACCUGUUAAUUAACGCGCAAAGACGAGACGUUGCACACGCAGAGCAGGUGAUGCCGUCAGCCACACUUUGUCACCAGGGCGAUCACCUCCGGAUGGCGGAGGAAUCCCAUCCUGAAUCACAAAGUUAUGCUAAGCUAAUGCUGCUCUCAAGAGCCAGGUUGGAAUUUAUUUAAUAGCCACAUGCAAAUUGAGGUAAUAGUCGUAUUUACGGCUAAAAAGUGCUCUUCAAAGAACAAACUUUGAGAAGUUUGAAUCCUGAUAUUUUGCUAAAAGUCUGUUGCAUAAAGCGGCCGCGGCACCAUGACGCCUUUCUGCGUGUAGAGAGUCUGUUCAUCUCUGCAGAAGCACGACGCUCUGACCUGCAUCGGUUCCAUUUCCCACACUGGCUGGAAGUAAAAGGUCGUGACCUGUGGUAUUUUUACUCGCGGCCCCUCACCGUUAUCGUGGGGCCCUAUUUCAGGCUCCUUAUAAAUCCUGUUGAUCCGACACACCUUCAGGAGCACAAAUCCACCGCCCCGCUCCCCGUGUCCGCAGUCACAUUAUCUGUUCAUUGUUUUUGGAUUCAACACUUUCAUCAAACGCUGAUUGUUUCCAAACUAAAAAACGUUUUUUCUUUUAUUAGGGAAGCCAAAUUAAGAAUGGGAUCUACUGUCCUCGUCAUCGGACCAACCGGCUGCCGUGAGUUUGUUUUCCUCUGAAUCCCACAGGCGUGUUUGUUGUGUUUGUCCACCAUAAAGUGACGUCUGUCUGCCGAGUGGAAGACGACACCUUAUCAAGCUGUAGGGAAAUUACCCCCCCCCCAUAAAACAGUUGUUUUAUUUCAGAUGUUAGAGAACAACUGGACUGUUUCUGAGGUGGAGGUGAUGUCUUCAUGUAGUUAGAAUGCUUUAAAGUGCACAGACACGCCAUUUCUGUCAGGUUUUAAUUGUAUGUGGAUUAUUUUUCAUGCCCCGUUGUUUGUUUAGUCAAAUGUGUCGUUGCCUUUAAUCCUAUUCCUUUGCAUGCUCUUCGUGGGGUGUUGGCAGACUUUCAGUGCGGC